ACUCCUACGGGAGGCAGCAGUGGGGAAUAUUGCACAAUGGGCGCAAGCCUGAUGCAGCCAUGCCGCGUGUGUGAAGAAGGCCUUCGGGUUGUAAAGCACUUUCAGUUGUGAGGAAAGGUUAGUCGCUAAUAUCGGCUAGCUGUGACGUUAGCAACAGAAGAAGCACCGGCUAACUCCGUGCCAGCAGCCGCGGUAAUACGUAGGGUGCGAGCGUUGUCCGGAAUUACUGGGCGUAAAGAGCUCGUAGGUGGUUUGUCGCGUUGUUCGUGAAAACCCUGAGGCUUAACCUUGGGCGUGCGGCGAUACGGGCAGACUGGAGUACUGCAGGGGAGACUGGAAUUCCUGGUGUAGCGGUGGAAAUGCGCAGAUAUCAGGAGGAACACCGGUGGCGAAGGCGGGUCUCUGGGCAGUAACUGACGCUGAGGAGCGAAAGCGUGGGGAGCGAACAGGAUUAGAUACCCU
rnacentral:rRNA from 1 species